GAAGGUGGUGAUGCCACGUCAGCAGCAACGAUAAACUGAUAAUGGGAUUAGAGAUAACUUGCUCUGCAGAGAACUCGCCGGUGCGGAGAAGAGCGGCACAUAAUGGCGGGAGCUUUCUUCCGUUUGAAAACCUUUUCUCCGAUAGCCAUGGCCAACGCCGACAUCGAACUUUCGCUUCAACUGCCUCAGAAUGUACGCAAUUCUAGGGUUUUAGUACUCGGAGGCACUGGUCGAGUCGGAGCCUCCACUGCCACUGCUCUCUCCAAGUUCUGUCCAGACCUUCAGAUCGCCAUCGGUGGUCGCAACAGGGCAAAGGGUGAAGCUAUAGUCGCGACACUCGGGAGAAACUCUCGGUUUGUGGAAGUUGAUAUCGAGAAUGUAGAAAUGUUGGAGGCUGCUUUGAGAGAUGUGGAUCUUGUAAUUCAUACGGCUGGACCUUUCCAGCAGACAGAGAAGUGCACUGUACUUGAAGCUUCCAUAAAUACCAAGACAGCCUAUGUUGAUGUUUGUGAUGAUACAAACUAUUCACAAAAUGCAAAAUCUUUCAAGAAUAAAGCUAUAGAUGCAAACAUUCCAGCCAUUACAACUGCUGGCAUUUAUCCUGGAGUGAGCAAUGUAAUGGCAGCAGAGCUUGUACGUGCUGUGAGAGAUGAAAGCAAGGGUGAACCCGAGAGGCUAAGAUUCUACUACUACACUGUAGGCACUGGUGGUGCUGGCCCAACUAUAUUAGCUACCAGUUUCUUACUUCUGGGAGAGGAGGUGGUUGCCUAUAAUAAAGGGGAAAAGCUCAAACUAAAACCUUACAGCGGAAUGCUCAACAUUGACUUCGGAAAAGGAAUUGGGAAGAGAGAUGUAUUUCUGCUGAAUUUGCCAGAGGUAAGAACUGCGCAUGAUAUCCUGGGAGUGCCGACAGUCAGUGCUCGUUUCGGAACUGCACCAUUUUUUUGGAAUUGGGGAAUGUUGGCCUUGACAAAUCUUCUUCCUUUGGAAUAUUUUAGAGAUAGAAGCAAAGUUCAAAAUUUGGUUCAACUGUUUGAUCCUUUUGUUCGAGCACUUGAUGGUCUUGUUGGAGAGCGUGUAUCCAUGAGGGUUGAUUUGGAAUGUUCGAAUGGGCGAAGCACUGUGGGUAUUUUCAGUCAUCGGAGACUUUCCCAAUCAGUGGGGUAUUCGACAGCUGCAUUUGCUCUUGCUGUUCUUGAGGGAAGCACACAACCUGGAGUUUGGUUUCCUGAAGAGCCCGAAGGAAUAGCAAUUGAGGCGAGGGAAGUUCUUCUAAGACGUGCUGCCCAAGGGACAAUCAAUUUUGUAAUGAACAAGCCUCCAUGGAUGGUUGAAACAGAGCCCAAAGAACUUGGUUUAGGAAUAUAUGUCUGAUAUUCCUCAUGGAUCUUUCAUUUAUCAACUUCCUAGUGUUGCACCCAAUUGAUGGUGUCAUCUCUAUGUAAAAGUUCUGGAAGUAGUUGAUUUACGAAGAAUGCCCUUUUUUGUCUGAUUUUGAUUAGAUCAGGCUACUUUGUGCAUAGCAGAUGAGGAGGUGGAAAUUCAUGUAAUUUAUGUAAGUGUAUGAUUUCUAUGGGCAUAGUAUAAACUAGAGAUUGAAUGAGACUUUUGUGAUACAUUGUAUGUUAUGUUUUAGAAAAUAGAACGAAUCUCCCUUUUUCCUUGCU